rnacentral:rRNA from 1 species
UACGGAGGGUGCGAGCGUUGUCCGGAAUCACUGGGCGUAAAGGGCGCGUAGGCGGCUCGGUAAGUAGGGGGUGAAAUCCUGCGGCUUAACCGCAGGGCUGCCUUCUAAACUGUCGAGCUCGAGCACGGUAGAGGCAGAUGGAAUUCCCGGUGUAGCGGUGGAAUGCGUAGAGAUCGGGAAGAACAUCAGGUGGCUGAAGGCGGUCUGCUGGGCCGUUGCUGACGCUGAGGCGCGACAGCGGUGG